rnacentral:tRNA from 1 species
AGGGGAGUAGCUCAAUUGGUAGAGUAGUGGUCUCCAAAACCAUUGGCUGCAGGUUCGAGUCCUGUCUCCCCUGCCA